rnacentral:rRNA from 1 species
GACGAACGCUGGCGGCGUGCCUAAUACAUGCAAGUAGAACGCUGAAGAGAGGAGCUUGCUCUUCUUGGAUGAGUUGCGAACGGGUGAGUAACGCGUAGGUAACCUGCCUUGUAGCGGGGGAUAACUAUUGGAAACGAUAGCUAAUACCGCAUAACAAUGGAUGACCCAUGUCAUUUAUUUGAAAGGGGCAAAUGCUCCACUACAAGAUGGACCUGCGUUGUAUUAGCUAGUAGGUGAGGUAACGGCUCACCUAGGCGACGAUACAUAGCCGACCUCAGAGGGUGAUCGGCCACACUGGGACUGAGACACGGCCCAGACUCCUACGGGAGGCAGCAGUAGGGAAUCUUCGGCAAUGGGGGCAACCCUGACCGAGCAACGCCGCGUGAGUGAAGAAGGUUUUCGGAUCGUAAAGCUCUGUUGUAAGUCAAGAACGAGUGUGAGAGUGGAAAGUUCACACUGUGACGGUAGCUUACCAGAAAGGGACGGCUAACUACGUG